UCCCAGACUCCUACGGGAGGCAGCAGUGGGGAAUAUUGCACAAUGGGGGAAACCCUGAUGCAGCGACGCCGCGUGGGCGACGAAGCGCUCCGGCGCGUAAAGCCCUGUCAGCAGGGAAGAACAAAGACAGUACCUGACUAAGAAGCCCCGGCUAACUACGUGCCAGCAGCCGCGGUAAUACGUAGGGGGCAAGCGUUAUCCGGAUUUACUGGGUGUAAAGGGAGCGUAGACGGCAGUGCAAGUCCGGAGUGAAAGCCCGGGGCUCAACCCUGGGACUGCUCUGGAAACUGUAAAGCUGGAGUGCGGGAGGGGCAGGCGGAAUUCCUGGUGUAGCGGUGAAAUGCGUAGAUAUCAGGAGGAACACCGGCGGCGAAGGCGGCCUGCUGGACCGUAACUGACGUUGAGGCUCGAAAGCGUGGGGAGCAAACAGGAUUAGAUACCCUUGUAGA
rnacentral:rRNA from 1 species